rnacentral:rRNA from 1 species
AGCGAACGCUGGCGGCAUGCUUAACACAUGCGAGUCGCACGGGCAGCCAUGUCAGUGGCGGACGGGUGAGUAACGCGUAGGAACGUGUCCUGAGGUGGGGGACAACCCCGGGAAACUGGGGCUAAUACCGCAUAUGGGCUGAGGCCCAAAGCCGAGAGGCGCCUUUGGAGCGGCCUGCGUCCGAUUAGGUAGUUGGUGGGGUAAAGGCCUACCAAGCCUGCGAUCGGUAGCUGGUCUGAGAGGACGACCAGCCACACUGGGACUGAGACACGGCCCAGACUCCUACGGGAGGCAGCAGUGGGGAAUAUUGGACAAUGGGCGAAAGCCUGAUCCAGCAAUGCCGCGUGGGUGAAGAAGGUCUUCGGAUCGUAAAGCCCUUUCGACGGGGACGAUGAUGACGGUACCCGUAGAAGAAGCCCCGGCUAACUUCGUG